UUCCCAUGGUUAACUCUUGGUUAGAAUCACUACACAUACCUAGGAAAAUAUAUCAAUCCAAAUAGAAAAAAGAUUCCUUAAAUUAGCAAGGGCUUAGUAUAACCGAUUAUUGUUGUUUUGGAGUGGAUGAUUAUUGUUGUAUUGGGGAGAUGUGAUUGGGCAUGACAUGGCUAAAAUACGAGUUUUCGAGAAUAUGACCCUUGAUAGGAAAGUCUGGAAGUCUAGUAUCAGGAUUGUAGGAAAGGUUC
rnacentral:lncRNA from 1 species